ACAUAUUCUUAAUUCAAAAUAGCAAGUGCAUGAUACCGAAUUACCGAUAACAUAAGUUUCAGCUUCGUACGUAGUUCAUAGUUUAAUACAUCAUAGAAAUAUAGUCACGACGAGCUCAUGGCCCGCAGCACAACAACACAACUUCGUAGGUUCUUCAAUACAAAAAAUCAAGUGCGUGAUAACUGAUAACUGAUAGCAAACUGACAUGCUAAAAGUUCCAAACUAAUGCUAAAAGGACAAUAUAAUGUCACGAACACGAAUAUAAGACAUGGUUGAUGGUACUCAAUCAAAAUUCAAGGGAUCCCAUUCAUCUUCAGGUUCAGGUGCAGCAUGACGAGGACUUGAUCCACCAACAUCAAAUGUAACACCAUCAUAAUCAAAUAGAUCUUCAUCUCUUUGGGGCCUUUCCUGGUUCUGAAUGUCCUGAAUCUCAUCACUGUCUUCCAUGGCAUCAGCCUCAACAACAUCCAAGUCUAGCACCAAUUCUGAAUUUUUGUUCAACAUAGAUAUUAUGUUAAAUGAGCAAAAACUUGUAUGUAUGAAUUGAUUUCACAAUUGACAAGAGACAUUACUAUCACUGCAAUGUAUACUUAGUGCGGAUAGUUCACUGCGAAAAAUGUUCAGCUCUUCCGAGUUAAGGCGAGGUGGAUUGUCUUCUAAGAUCCAAGCUUCAUUUCCCAUUCCAAUUUGUUCCAAACUUAUU
rnacentral:lncRNA from 1 species